rnacentral:rRNA from 1 species
GACGAACGCUGGCGGCGUGCCUAAUACAUGCAAGUCGAACGCUUCUUUCCUCCCGAGUGCUUGCACUCAAUUGGAAAGAGGAGUGGCGGACGGGUGAGUAACACGUGGGUAACCUACCCAUCAGCGGGGGAUAACACUUGGAAACAGGUGCUAAUACCGCAUAACAGUUUAUGCCGCAUGGCAUAAGAGUGAAAGGCGCUUUCGGGUGUCGUUGAUGGAUGGACCCGCGGUGCAUUAGCUAGCUGGUGAGGUAACGGCUCACCAAGGCCACGAUGCAUAGCCGACCUGAGAGGGUGAUCGCCCACACUGGGACUGGGACACGGCCCAGACUCCUACGGGAGGCAGCAGUAGGGAAUCUUCGGCAAUGGACGAAAGUCUGACCGAGCAACGCCGCGUGAGUGAAGGAGGUUUUCGGAUCGUAAAACUCUGUUGUUAGAGAAGAACAAGGACGUUAGUAACUGAACAUCCCGUGACGGUAUCUAACCAGAAAGCCACGGCUAACUACGUG